rnacentral:rRNA from 1 species
GCUAAUACCCCAUAUGCCGCGAGGUGAAAUGAAUUUCGCCUGAGGAUGAGCUCGCGUCUGAUUAGCUAGUUGGUGUAGGUAAAGGCUCACCAAGGCAUCGAUCAGUAGCUGGUCUGAGAGGAUGAUCAGCCACACUGGGACUGAGACACGGCCCAGACUCCUACGGGAGGCAGCAGUGGGGAAUUUUCCGCAAUGGGCGAAAGCCUGACGGAGCAACGCCGCGUGAGGGAUGAAGGCCUCUGGGCUGUAAACCUCUUUUAUCAAGGAAGAAGAUCUGACGGUACUUGAUGAAUAAGCCACGGCUAAUUCCGUGCCAGCAGCCGCGGUAAUACGGGAGUGGCAAGCGUUAUCCGGAAUUAUUGGGCGUAAAGCGUCCGCAGGCGGCCCUUCAAGUCUGCUGUUAAAAAGUGGAGCUUAACUCCAUCAUGGCAGUGGAAACUGUUGGGCUUGAGUGUGGUAGGGGCAGAGGGAAUUCCCGGCGUAGCGGUGAAAUGCGUAGAUAUCGGGAAGAACACCAGUGGCGAAGGCGCUCUGCUGGGCCAUCACUGACGCUCAUGGACGAAAGCCAGGGGAGCGAAAGGGAUUAGAUACCCCUGUAGUCCUGGCCGUAAACGAUGAACACUAGGUGUCGGGGGAAUCGACCCCCUCGGUGUCGUAGCCAACG